UACGUAGGGUGCGAGCGUUGUCCGGAUUUAUUGGGCGUAAAGAGCUCGUAGGCGGCUUGUUGCGUCAGCUGUGAAAACCCGCGGCUUAACCGUGGGCCUGCAGCUGAUACGGGCAAGCUAGAGUUCGGUAGGGGAGACUGGAAUUCCUGGUGUAGCGGUGAAAUGCGCAGAUAUCAGGAGGAACACCGGUGGCGAAGGCGGGUCUCUGGGCCGAUACUGACGCUGAGGAGCGAAAGCGUGGGGAGCGAACAGG
rnacentral:rRNA from 1 species